ACAAUAUGCUCAGGAACUUAGAGAGAAGCAUAGAGAAGAACAUGGGAGUGAAAAUCUUCAUAAUAAACAGCAAAGAAGACACAGCCAAAUGCACCACAUGCUACUGCUUUGAUAAUGCCACUGACUAUUGACUGCAUACAGUAUCUAAAUGGUCACUAUGCACCUUGGAAGAAAUGCGGGCGUUCUCCAGCAGCACUCUGGUCCACACAGCUGGGUGACGAGCCACAAACUUCCAGUCACGGCAGACCUCAGCAGCUCUCAGCAGCGUUUUUGUAUCCAGGUAGGUGAAGAUGCAGAAGAGAGCAGCACGCAUCUUCAGGAUCUCUGGACUGAUCACCUCGUUGGAUUUGGACGGGCUCUUUUCAUGGCGGCAUGGCUUGUUGUAGACCCCAUCAGACCGACCUAUGGGAAGAAAAACACAAUACUCGGUGGUCCGGGAGCCUACGUCUGACACGUCCCCUUCCUCACCUUCAGUGCUGUUCCUGUAAGGCCGCCGCUGCCAGUUCUGGAUAGCCUGUUUACGAAGACCCCAGUUCCUUGAUCCGCCAACGCCACAUCCAGGGGACCGCUCGUAACCCCCCUCACCCAUUCGACACUGCAUGUGAUAGUACUGAGCCUCGGGACACUCCUCCAUGGGAUGCAUCUCAACGCUGUCACUGUCGUAACCUCCAGAGCCCUGUGAGACAGACUUGAUCCGUCCUGAUGCUCUGCAGGAAAACAGAAGGAAGUGUACUAUAAAUGAUGAAGAGAGAUGCAGAGAGUUAGAUAAGAAGAUAUAUACAACUCUCAUGUCUGUUUGUUAAAUAUGAAACUAGAGCUGUUUAGCUUAGCACAAAGACCAGAAACAGGGGGGAAACGCCGAACCUGGCUCUGUCCAAAGGUAACAAAAUUUGUCAUUUAAAAUGACAGAUUGUGGUUUUACCAGGGGUUAUGUAAUGGCCAAGCAACCAGCAACCAGCAAACAAAAUAUAACAUGUUAAUUAGUAUGCUGUAAAGGUAAUGUAUUAGUAAAGCACCUUUCAAAAACAA